UCCGGUUCUCGUUAGAUCACCGAAGUCAAGCAUCUUUGGGCACGGUCAGUACUUGGGUGGGUGACCACCUGGGAAAACGCCGCGUGCUG